rnacentral:tRNA from 1 species
GGUGGCUCAGUGGUAGAGUGCUUGUCUUGAAUUCAUAAGGCCCUGGGUUCGAUUCCUCAGCACCA